rnacentral:rRNA from 1 species
GACGAACCGUGCGAACGUUGUUCGGAAUUACUGGGCGUAAAGGGCGCGUAGGCGCCUUCUUAGUCGAACGUGAAAUCCCCGGGCUCAACCCGGGAACUGCGUCCGAUACUGGAAGGCUCGAAUCCGGGAGAGGGAUGUGGAAUUCCAGGUGUAGCGGUGAAAUGCGUAGAUAUCUGGAGGAAUACCGGUGGCGAAGGCGGCAUCCUGGACCGGCAUUGACGCUGAGGAGCGAAAGCCAGGGGAGCAAACGGG